rnacentral:rRNA from 1 species
AUUGAACGCUGGCGGCAGGCCUAACACAUGCAAGUCGAGCGGAUGAAGGCAGCUUGUUCCGGGAUUCAGCGGCGGACGGGGGAGUAAUGCAUAGGAAUAUGCUUGGUAGUGGGGGAUAACGUCCGGAAACGAGCGCUGAUACUGCAUACGUCAUGAGGGAGAAAGAGGGGGAUCUUCGGACCCCACGCUAGCAGAUGAGACUAGGUCGGAUUAGCUAGUUGGUGGGGUAAAGGCCUACUAAGGCGACGAUCGGUAACUGGUCUGAGAGGAUGGUCGGUCACAUUGGAGCGGGAACAGGCUCCAUACUCCUGCGAGAGGCAGCAGUGGGGAAUAUUGGACAAUGGGCGAAAGCAUUAUACAGCCAUCGCACGUCUGUGAAGACGAUCCUCCGAUUGUAAAGAACUCUAAGUUGGGGGAAACGGCAGUAAGGUAUUACCAUGCUGUUUUGACGUUACCAGCAGAAUAAGCACCGGCUAACUUCGUG